rnacentral:rRNA from 1 species
GUGGGGAAUAUUGGACAAUGGGCGAAAGCCUGAUCCAGCCAUGCCGCGUGUGUGAAGAAGGUCUUCGGAUUGUAAAGCACUUUAAGUUGGGAGGAAGGGUAGUAACCUAAUACGUUGCUACUUUGACGUUACCGACAGAAUAAGCACCGGCUAACUUCGUGCCAGCAGCCGCGGUAAUACGAAGGGUGCAAGCGUUAAUCGGAAUUACUGGGCGUAAAGCGCGCGUAGGUGGUUCAGUAAGUUGGAAGUGAAAUCCCCGGGCUCAACCUGGGAACUGCUUUCAAAACUGCUGAGCUAGAGUACGGUAGAGGGUGGUGGAAUUUCCUGUGUAGCGGUGAAAUGCGUAGAUAUAGGAAGGAACACCAGUGGCGAAGGCGACCACCUGGACUGAUACUGGCACUGAGGUGCGAAAGCGUGGGGAGCAAACAGGAUUAGAAACCCCUGUAGUCC